UGUUAAAACUAUCAUUCAUUUUUAUUAUUGUUAAAAACUGACAUGGAUGAUAGAAUAACCCGAUAAUUACACGUGGUGUGCCACGUGUACCUAAUUUUGACAUACAAUGAUAAGUUUUUAAAAAUAGAUAAAAAUUUUAACA
rfam:Gossypium hirsutum cultivar TM-1 unplaced genomic scaffold scaffold2309.1, whole genome shotgun sequence